UAUGAUCCAAACGCAGUUUGUUUCAUUUAAGUGCGUCUUCCUACAUGCUAAUGUGUCGCAAAGACAAAGAAGUGGUGUGGCUCAGGCUAUAAUAUCAAAGAAACUAUCCAUUUAUCAACUUCCAAAGAGCAAGAGAAAAACUUAAAGUUUUCAGAAAACUCAUCUGAUUUAAAUGCUACUGAAAAUACAAACGCAUACAUAAACGCAACAGAAUGGUUAUCACCUACUUUAUCUACUGACUGCAAUAUAGGU
rnacentral:lncRNA from 1 species